rnacentral:rRNA from 1 species
GACGAACGCUGGCGGCGUGCCUAAUACAUGCGAGUAGAACGCUGAAGAGAGGAGCUUGCUCUUCUUGGAUGAGUUGCGAACGGGUGAGUAACGCGUAGGUAACCUGCCUUGUAGCGGGGGAUAACUAUUGGAAACGAUAGCUAAUACCGCAUAACAAUGGAUGACACAUGUCAUUUAUUUGAAAGGGGCAAUUGCUCCACUACAAGAUGGACCUGCGUUGUAUUAGCUAGUAGGUGAGGUAACGGCUCACCUAGGCGACGAUACAUAGCCGACCUGAGAGGGUGAUCGGCCACACUGGGACUGAGACACGGCCCAGACUCCUACGGGAGGCAGCAGUAGGGAAUCUUCGGCAAUGGGGGCAACCCUGACCGAGCAACGCCGCGUGAGUGAAGAAGGUUUUCGGAUCGUAAAGCUCUGUUGUAAGUCAAGAACGAGUGUGAGAGUGGAAAGUUCACACUGUGACGGUAGCUUACCAGAAAGGGACGGCUAACUACGUG